UUAGAGGGCCCACUACGAUCGAUUCGCCUUGGGGCCCUCAAAAUCAUUGGACUGGCGCUGCUGCAAGGGAUGCUGUUGCGUCGGGACUGUACAUUACAGGAUGUCUCCUGCGACUGGAGGAUCCUGCCGUGGUGGGUGGCCGGUGAAGGAGGUCUGGAUUCUGAUGGUGGAGGAGCCUUCGAGGUACAAAUUUUCUUCAUCUGAAAUCUCGAGUGAAGACGGUGGAUGUCAGAUUUGCUUUUGCUUCUUGUAGCCUAUUAGAUUAAUCCAUAGGAAUAAUUAUUAAACUGGUGAUGACGGUGAGUGCAAAUUUUCUUGCCAAUCGCUGGCUGCUACAGAUAUCCAGUUGCUGCAUCAUUCAACCAUUGCACACAACACUGUGUUAAUAUAAUAUGGAAAACAAUUUCUAAGAUAAAAUUAUUCUAAGGCCCCGUUUGUUUCGUUGGAAUUAAAUUCUAUUUUAAUAAUUAUUAUUUAGACAAAACUAAUUAAGUUUAUAUAUUUACAUAUGUAAUAUAUUUGUAUAUUAUCUCAAAUCAUAUAAGAGAGAUAGUUAUUCUAUAUAUUAACCGCGGGAGCAAGGAGCUCGCCACGUUGUGCCACGUCAUCAGAAAAAACUGCACCGUCCGAUCGCUGCUCAGCAGCCACGCGCAUCUCUCAUGCAUCCGACCGCCGGCUGCUUCAGCUAUCAGACGCUUGAGCUUUCGAGACUUCACGUGAAGGACCCUUGGGAAAAGGGAAAAAAAGGAGGAGAGGAGACCACAAUGUCGGCGACGCUUUGAGUCCUCUUGAGCGCCUCCUCGUUGUGCGCCGGCCAUCGUCUUCCAACGCGCUUCCUCUACUUGGGUGUUUUUGUUCGCACGGCUCCAGCUCACCCUCUUCUAUCCUCUCCCACAUCGCCGUCGACCAAAGCGGCAGACAUAGCGUCUCACCUCCGGCGUCAGAGAACGCACGUCCGUUCGAUGGCGGAGAUGGCGCUGCAGCACCUCGUCAUGGGCCUGAACAACUAAGCCUCAGUCAGGGCCUCGUGGUGCAACCCCCUCAACUCCCUCACCGACGCUUUCCUCGGCCAGUCCUCUAAGGUGCAGCCUCAGGGGAUUCCUGAACUUGGUGGAAUAGAAGCAACAUUUACAGAUUUUGACAAAAUUUAUGGCAAUAGAAAUGCAAUCGUUGUUGACAAGCAGUGGCCACAAUAAAAAAGUACACCACAACACUGUGUUGCUUACUGGGAUGCAUAGAAGACGAGGUUGAAGAAUUUUUUUGUUUAGCUUACUGAACCUGCUCCUGAAGUUGUUUGUCAGCUGAUGUCUCAAAUUGGUAGCAAGAUCCUGGACAAAUAUAUUGUGAAUUUGAUACAACUAUGCCAUGCUUACAUUUUAUCUUGAAAUGUUACUGUUUAUGGUUUCUUGUCAGCCGUGUGACAAACUUAAAUGAAAUAGCCCAUCACUUCCUGCACUGCAUUCAGAUGCAUAUGGAGCUGAUCAUUCAAGUGAACUGCAUUCAGAUGAAUAAGGAGGCACUUUUACGUACCAAUCUCAGAUAGGAAGGCACUUCAUUGUUCACUCAUCCUAGAGGUCAUUUACCGAAAGAAACAAAUGUGUUUGCUGAAUUUGUUCUUAUCUUGUACACAUUAUGUUUUUGACAAACUGAAUUUGGCAUGUUUCAAGGAAA